AUUGAACGCUGGCGGCAGGCCUAACACAUGCAAGUCGAGCGGAGCGGCGGACGGGUGAGUAAUGCAUAGGAAUCUGCCUGGUAGUGGGGGAUCACGUCCGGAAACGGGCGCUAAUACCGCAUACUAUCAGAUGAGCCUAGGUCGGAUUAGCUAGUGGGUGGGGUAAAGGCCUGCAAAGGCGACGAUCCGUAACUGGUCUGAGAGGAUGAUCAGUCACACUGGAACUGAGACACGGUCCAGACUCCUACGGGAGGCAGCAGGGGGGAAUAUUGGACAAUGGGCGAAAUCCUGGUCCAGCCAUGCCGCGUGUGUGAAGAAGGUCUUCGGAUUGUGAAGCACUUUAAGUUGGGAGGCGUUACCAACAGAAUAAGCACCGGCUAACUUCGUGCCAGCCGCCGCGGUAAUUC
rnacentral:rRNA from 1 species